AGUAUAGAAACCCCUCCCUUUUCAGGAUGUCAGCUGGGAGGAGCUGAGAGAAAGUAAAAUACUUAUUUCAGUCCACUUCUGACAGACCUUGCCACUGUGCCUGCAACCUGGUCAGAGAGGAACUCUUCUCCCAGGAUGGACAAUUCUCAUGCUACAAAGUCCUGUGUGCUCAUCCUUCUUGUGGCCCUACUGCGUGCAGAAAGAGUUCAGGGGCUGGAAUGCUACCAGUGUUUUGAUGUCCCACUUGAGACUUCCUGCAAUACAACUACCUGCCUGAAUGGAUGACUCUCAGAGAAAAAAAGCAAAGAACAGUUAUUGCUUUUCCAUCUGCCCUACUAAUAAAUAUUUCACGAUCCUGGAUGCUACUGUCAGUGUGAAGAGUUUCUGUUGCAAGGAAGACCUCUGCAAUGCAGAGAUUGCCACAGGAAGCAGCUCCUAGACCAUGGCAGGGGUGCUUCUGUUCAGCCUGGGCUCAGUCCUCCUACAGACCCUGCUGUGAUGGUCCUUCCAACAACCCUCACCCUUGUCCUUUUAUCCUCAUGUGUAAGCACUCUUUCCUGGAGCCCUCUAGUGAUGAAUUGUGAGUUAUAGAAGCUCCAAGGUGGGGGACUUUAUAACCUCAGCUGGGUAGUUCCCCACUCCUCUCUAGGGCUUUCGAAUCUGUACUUCCUGGAAUGUUAUUUUGUUUUGACUUGCUACUUUUGGCCCUGGAGGCAAGGGGCCAGCACAGGGAAUAGGCAAAUUUCCAAGGUAUUAUGCCAUCACCAUCCACAUGUAAGUAUCUGGGGUCCUUCAGGGUUCCCACAUGUGCUGUUCAAUGUCUCUCUGUUGAGUUCAAUAAAGACUUUGUUCUCCCA